rnacentral:lncRNA from 1 species
ACAGGUUGCCCCAUAGUGACCCUGGAGACUCCCGCCUGCCCCCAGUGAAGGAAUUGGUUACUCUCCCAGAGCCCUCCCGGGCAUCGCCCCCUUCCUCACUUCCUCCUCUUCCUGCCGCCAGCCUCUACCCCUCCAGCCUCCUGUGGCUUCACAGGCAAGUGCCCCAUCCCAGGAAGAAGGAGUUGGAGCUCCGUGAUGCCAUUCAAAAACAGAUGAGAUGGGGACAGAUUUAACCCAAAGGACAUAGUUCAACUCCUGGUCUUGACAGAGGAGAAGCCCUCAAAGAUGGAGUCUCACUCUGUUGCCAGGCUAGAAUACAAUGGCACGAUCUUGGCUCACUGCAACCUCCGCCUCCUGGGUUCAAGAGAUUCUCCUGCCUCAGCGUCCUGAGUUGCUGGGACUACGGGCACACACCAUCAUGCCCAGCUAAUUUUUGUAUUUUUAGUAGAGACAGGGUUUCACCAUGUUGACCAGGAUGGUCUCGAUCUCUUGACCUCGUGAUCUGCCCACGUCGGCCUCCCAAAGUGCUGGGAUUACAGGCAUGAGCCAGUGCGCCUAGCAAAUGACAGCUUUUUGAGCCUCUGUUUAACAAUCUCUUAAACCUUAUAGGUAGGCAGUUCUGAGACAGCUCCUAAUCAUCUCCCCUCCUGGUAUUCAAGCCCUGAUGGAUUACUCUCUUCUUGAAUGUGAGCUGGACUUAGUGGUUUUCUUCUAAUCAAUUGAAUACACACAAGUGAUGAGCUGUCAUUUCCAAAAUUAGUUCACACAAAGCUGUAACUUUUGUUUUGUUCACAGCCUCUCUCAAUUGCCUUCUCAGCUUGUAUGCUUUGAAGAAGCAAGCUGCAGUGUUGGAGAGGCCCAUGUGGCAAGGAAAUGAGGGUGGCCUCCAGUCAAUGGCUGGUGAGAAACUGAGACCUUCCUUCCAACAAUUGUCAAGUAACUGAAUACUCCCAACAAUCAUAUGGGUUAGGUUAGAAGUGAACCUUUCUCUAGUUGAGGUUUCAGAUAAGACCACAGAUAUUAUACUAACACCUUGAUUGCAGGCUUAUGAGAAACCUUGAAAUGAGAAGACUAAGUAAAACCAUAUCUGGAUUCCUGACUUACAGAAACUGUGAGAUGAUAAAUGUGUGUUAUCUUAAGCCACAAAGUUUUUGGGGUGAUUUGUUCUACAGCAAUUGAUAAUGAAUACUUCAACCUAUAGUGACAACUGGAUGUCUAUUUACUCAUUUUCCCCACCAAAGUGUAAAGUUCCUGCAAGGCAGAGGUUACAACAUAUUCAUCCUGCUACCUCUCACAGCCCAUAAUAUACAACCUGGCCCAUAAAACAGAUUAAUCAAUGUUUGUUAAAUUAACAUGUAUUUUGAGUUUCAUUGAAAUCAGUUAGUUGAAGUGAUAAUAACAUUUAAAUGUGCAUGAGCAGUAGGACAAGGCAGAUAGCUGGUUAGGAUAGAAAGUUUUUGAAAAUUGUGAGGGGAAGAAUUAUUUCUAUUUGUACCCUGUUGUACCCAGCUUAGGUUUCAAAAACUUUCAGGGGGUUUUUAUUCAUUUACCAAAGACUUCAAAGUUGGUGCCUCCCCACCACUCUAAAGAGGUCUUUGCCCUUAUUGACCCAACCAUACUGAUUUGCCUGGUGUACAGUGGGAGCUAUUAUAAGGAGAGGGGAGAAGAAGGAAAUAGAAACAACUGUGAAAAAGGUUGAAAAAAAUAGCGAAAAGGAUAGAAAAAGAGCAGAGGAAAGAGAAGAAGUAGUCAACAUCCAACCCAGAUGCAGAGAAAUUAUUCAAAAGAAAAAGUCUGAUUUUCCUGUCGGAAAUAUUUUUAAAAGGAGGUAGGCAUUUAUCAAAAAGGAAAAAAAAAAAAAGAAUAACAGUUUGUCUUCCAAAGGACCCAAUACUCUUGGAAUUCAAUGACCUAAUUCUGUAUAUGGUUGCAGUGUGGAGAUUGCCUCUUGUCUGAUUCUCAUGGCAUUGAGACCUCUGAUUUCUCAACAGCACAUGCCACAGCACUAUCAGAGGUCAGGAAUAAAGAACAGAGGGUGUGGGGGGCAGUCUAGAUAUUAUACUCAGCAAACAUAUUUUUAAAUCAGUGUAAAUUCUAUCUUGCUGGUUGCUUAUCUUAGCAGUUAAAUCAACUUUUCAUUACUUUUGUAGACAUUAUAUAAUAUCUUCUCCCCACAGCUCCAGCCACCAGCUGUUAGUCAGCAGAAUGGGAGAGGGACUGGGUCAGCUUAAGCUGAAUAACUUCCAUGCUGACAUUUGAGGGAACCAAUUCCCAGCCACUGAACAAACCUAAAUGUUCUGCUAUGGCCAUAGAACCAAAUAGAUCUUAACAAAGAAAUCUGAGAGCAUUCAAAGGUCAAAACAAUUGGAGCUAGUUCCUUCAAGCUUAAAUAUGCUCAUCUGUAAAGUGGGGACAAUAACUGUGUGUCUUAUAGGGUUAUUUUGAAGGCUAAAUAUGUGUAAAAGCCUCAGUCUACUGAAAGGUUGCUCAACUGUAACACUCUUUUCAUUUUGUGAGGGAUCAUUCUUUGUUGGAGGUUAGGGACACUGUCUUGUGCAUUACAGGAUGUUUAGCAACAUCCUUAGCUUCUAUCCAUCAGAUGUUAGCACCCCACCCACGGACCACCAUCUUCUCCAUCAUCACCAUCAAAUAUGUCUCCAGACAUUUCCAAGUGUCCCCUGGGAGGGUAAAAUUGCCCCUGGUUGAGAACCACUGUUCUAGUACUUGGCAUUGUUCCAUAAACAUCAGAUGAUAUUUUUAUCAUUAUAAUUAUUACUAAAGGCAACAUCACCCUGCUAUGGAGACAGGUCCUUGGUCUCACGGAAUCCCUGCAAUAGUUGCUGCAUUUCUGCAUCUUUCUGAGAGUAAGGGUUGAAAAGAGAUAAGGUCAAUUCAUCUGACAACAAUCCAAUGGGAAACCUACUGUCUCCGUAGAAAUUCUUUUCAUGGAAAGAAAAGGGGCUACCAUUUUGAUCUGCUGCAGGAACUAGGUCUAUUCCUCAGCCUCAAGGUUUGCAAAACGCUACAGACUUUUCCAUGGGCAUAAAUUCUCCAGCUUUAGGGAUUGCUGGUAUAGUUGACUCUUGAAGCUGCUCUUGGAUUUCCAAGGGUAGCACCAUUUUUACCUGAGAAAAGAAGGAAAAAGAUAUUCAAGAAGGAGAACUUUUCAACAGAAGUUACUCCAUUUGCUGUUUUUGUGGUUUUGUGCUUGUUUAGGUUUGCAAGUGUGUUUUCUGCCCAAAUUGUUCUUGCAUAUUCUAACAGUGUUUGCUUUACGUGUUUUGAUACCAUGCUGUUUUGAAGGUACAAAUGUUUUUCAUGGCAUGUCUUGUGUUAAGUGUACAAACUGAGACGUGAAUGUCAGUGACUGAAUAGAGUACAGUAUUCCUCAAAGUUUUUAACUAAAUAAACCCUAAGAGAAAAGUGAAGCGAGAUUUCUGGAGGUCUGGAAGUGGCCAGCUGACAAUAUGACAUCUCUGUAUCUCCUAUUUUUAUCUUUAUGCUAAAUGCAAAUUUUACUUUCUGUGCUAAAAUAAUGUUUCAUUAGUUUCAAGGUAAAAAUGUGUAAAUAGAC